GUGUCCUUUUCAACGCUUUGUUUUUAACAUUGACUGUUUUGCAUUUAGGACCAGCUCAUAUGGCCAAAGGUCUCCUGGCUGCAGUGACCCGUGUUUUUCUGCUUGAUUAUACCAUGAAGAUGCCUUGACAUAACACAGCAAGUUGAAAAGAAUAAGAAAGGCUUCUAUGGGUGCAUCAGAUGGAAAAGGAAAGUCCAGGAGAGCAUAUGCUCCCAACCCUCGAGCUGAUAGUUCAGAAGGUGAGAGCUGGUUCUCAACUGCCUGAGGAACCUGAACGUCCAUAAGUCUAUGGGUCCUGAUGAGAUGCAUUCCAGAACCCUCAGGAAGUCGGCUGCUGUAGUCUCCAAGUCACUCUUGAUGAUAUUUGAGAAGUCAUGGUGGUCGGGUGAAUUCCCUGGUGACUGG